rnacentral:sRNA from 1 species
ACAAAAACACAAGUUCAAA